rnacentral:rRNA from 1 species
UGGGGAAUAUUGGACAAUGGGCGCAAGCCUGAUCCAGCCAUGCCGCGUGAGUGACGAAGGUCUUCGGAUUGUAAAGCUCUUUUGGCGGGGACGAUAAUGACGGUACCCGCAGAAUAAGCCCCGGCUAACUUCGUGCCAGCAGCCGCGGUAAUACGAAGGGGGCUAGCGUUGUUCGGAAUCACUGGGCGUAAAGCGCACGUAGGCGGAUUUGUUAGUCAGGGGUGAAAUCCCGGGGCUCAACCUCGGAACUGCCCUUGAUACUGCAAAUCUCGAGUCCGAUAGAGGUGAGUGGAAUUCCUAGUGUAGAGGUGAAAUUCGUAGAUAUUAGGAAGAACACCAGUGGCGAAGGCGGCUCACUGGAUCGGUACUGACGCUGAGGUGCGAAAGCGUGGGGAGCAAACAGGAUUAGAUACCCAUUAGUCCCUGAGCGGGCUGGCAAGGCGCAU